UAUGGGUGUGCCAGCAGCCGCGGUAAAACGUAGGUCACAAGCGUUGUCCGGAAUUACUGGGUGUACAGGGAGCGCAGGCGGGAAGGCAAGUUGGAAGUGAAAUCCAUGGGCUCAACCCAUGAACUGCUUUCAAAACUGUUUUUCUUGAGUAGUGCAGAGGUAGGCGGAAUUCCCGGUGUAGCGGUGGAAUGCGUAGAUAUCGGGAGGAACACCAGUGGCGAAGGCGGCCUACUGGGCACCAACUGACGCUGAGGCUCGAAAGUGUGGGUAGCAAACAGG
rnacentral:rRNA from 1 species